CCUCCCUGCUGUCACUCAGAUCAAGUUCCACUUGGACAGCUGAAUCCAGAAAGACACGCAGGUACCCUCAGAGCAAUGGGAGCAAAUGUUAUUAGCUGGGACAGACUGAAUUUGAGAAGAGUUAACUGUGGGUCAGAAUGCCCCUGCAGUGCCUGAGUCCAGGACAAGGACAGUCAGCCUGAGAUUACAGUAUGGAAAAGCAAGGAAGAGAAACUGAUGAGUCCGGAGAAGGAGGAGGAGCAACUUCCUCCUUACCACCUCUCUGACUCUUCAUUUCACUGUGCUAUGAAUCUCAUGAAAUCAUGAAAUUACAUCAGCCAGGUGCCUCAGUGAAAGGACUGGAGAUACUGGGCCUGGUCUGCAAGGGAAAUGGAGAUGUGACUAAGGUGGAGAGAGGUGUGAUCCUCCCUGACCUCUGCACCUCCCACAGAUCUGCUCUUGCCUUGUGCAGAUGUUGCUUAAUUUGUGGCACUGACACUUUUAAGGAACCUCACCAGCAGUCCGUGUAUAUUGAGGAGAAGGCGCUACAGAUCUGGACACCAUUGGACUAUGAUAACCCCCAAGUACUGGGAGAUACGAGCUUCUAA
rnacentral:lncRNA from 1 species